rnacentral:rRNA from 1 species
UACGUAGGUGGCAAGCGUUGUUCGGAAUUACUGGGCGUAAAGCGCACGUAGGCGGCUUGGUAAGUCUGUCGUGAAAUGCUGGGGCUCAACCCUGGACGUGCGAUGGAUACUGCUUGGCUAGAGGAUGGUAGAGGCGAGUGGAAUUCCCGGUGUAGCGCUGAAAUGCGCAGAUAUCGGGAGGAACACCAGUAGCGAAGGCGGCUCGCUGGGCCAUUCCUGACGCUGAGACGCGAAAGCAUGGGGAGCAAACAGG